rnacentral:rRNA from 1 species
GGAAUCUUCCACAAUGGGCGAAAGCCUGAUGGAGCAACGCCGCGUGUGUGAUGAAGGGUUUCGGCUCGUAAAACACUGUUGUAAGAGAAGAAUGACAUUGAGAGUAACUGUUCAAUGUGUGACGGUAUCUUGCCAGAAAGGAACGGCUAAAUACGUGCCAG